AUUGAACGCUGGCGGCAGGCCUAACACAUGCAAGUCGAACGGUAACAGGGAUCAGCUUGCUGAUUCGCUGACGAGUGGCGGACGGGUGAGUAAUGUCUGGGAAACUGCCUGAUGGAGGGGGAUAACUACUGGAAACGGUAGCUAAUACCGCAUAACGUCGCAAGACCAAAGAGGGGGACCUUCGGGCCUCUUGCCAUCGGAUGCGCCCAGAUGGGAUUAGCUAGUAGGUGGGGUAACGGCUCACCUAGGCGACGAUCCCUAGCUGGUCUGAGAGGAUGACCAGCCACACUGGAACUGAGACACGGUCCAGACUCCUACGGGAGGCAGCAGUGGGGAAUAUUGCACAAUGGGCGCAAGCCUGAUGCAGCCAUGCCGCGUGUAUGAAGAAGGCCUUCGGGUUGUAAAGUACUUUCAGCGGGGAGGAAGGGAGUAAAGUUAAUACCUUGGCUCAUUGACGUUACCCGCAGAAGAAGCACCGGCUAACUCCGUG
rnacentral:rRNA from 1 species